UUAGUUCAACGGCCGCGGUACCCUAACCGUGCGAAGGUAGCGUAAUCACUUGUCUUCUAAAUAGAGACUAGUAUGAAAGGCAUCACGAGAAUUUAACUGUCUCCUUUUUCCAAUCAGUGAAACUAAUCUUCCCGUGAAGAAGCGGGAAUCCAAAAAUAAGACGAGAAGACCCUAUGGAGCUUUAAACACUAACCACCUGCCCAAUCUUAUAAAACCCCGGUUCCUAAACCAACGCAUCAUGACUACGUGUUUUUGAUUGGGGCGACCACGGAAAAUAAUCAAACCUCCGUAAUGAAAACCUACAAGCCACAGCUUUAAGUAUCAACAAAUUGACAUCCAUUGACCCA
rnacentral:rRNA from 1 species